CCUACGGGUGGCAGCAGUGAGGAAUAUUGGUCAAUGGACGAAAGUCUGAACCAGCCAAGUAGCGUGAAGGAUGACUGCCCUAUGGGUUGUAAACUUCUUUUAUCAGGGAAUAAAACGAGGCACGUGUGCCUUUUUGCAUGUACUUUAUGAAUAAGGAUCGGCUAACUCCGUGCCAGCAGCCGCGGUAAUACGGAGGAUCCGAGCGUUAUCCGGAUUGAUUGGGUGUAAAGGGAGCGUAGGUGGGUGCUUAAGUCAGUUGUGAAAGUUUGCGGCUCAACCGUAAAAUUGCAAUUGAUACUGGCAGUCGUGAGUACAGUUGAGGUAGGCGGAAUUCGUGGUGUAGCGGUGAAAUGCUUAGAUAUCACGAAGAACCCCGAUUGCGAAGGCAGCUUACUAAACUGUGACUGACACUGAGGCUCGAAAGUGUGGGUAUCGAACAGGAUUAGAUACCCCAGUAGUC
rnacentral:rRNA from 1 species